CCCCCCCCCCCCGGGCCCCCAAACGAUGGAAAAUUCCUAGCUACACCCCUGGUUCAUCGCGACAGAAGGCUCAAAUAGAUUUGUAUUACAUGUUACAUUCCAUGUUGACUAUACUAGAAUUGAAUGUUGUGAAAGCUAUUUUUAGUUUAGACGUGACGCCAUUCGUUCCUCUGUGUUUAUUAGUUUUAGAUACACAUUGUAUGUUUCUUAACAUCCUGAAACAUUAUGACAUAUACUGUAUGAACAUUGUGCUUAGUUUGUUACUUUGUGUGUGGUGUGUAAAUGCAGUGCGGGUGUUUUUUUUUAUAUGACAAUGCAAUAAACACAUGUUUUUUUUUUCUAA